rnacentral:rRNA from 1 species
UACGGAGGGUGCAAGCAUUGAUCGGAAUUACUGGGCGUAAAGGGUGCGUAGGCGGCUGGAAAAGUCAGAUGUGAAAUUCCACGGCUCAACUGUGGGGCUGCAUUUGAAACUUUCUAGCUAGAGCCUAGUUAGGGAAAACGGAAUUCCACGUGUAGCGGUGAAAUGCGUAGAUAUGUGGAAGAACACCGGUGGUGAAGACGGUUUUCUGGACUAGAGCUGACGCUGAGGCACGAAAGCUAGGGGAGCAAACAGG